AAAAGUGAAUUGGGGGGAAGAGCAGAAAGCAAAGUGAACAUUUCUCUUUUUCACACAUUCUUGCACACUAGUCAGUCAGUUCGCCCGCAAGGAUCCAAUGGAACAAAGACAAGCCUUAUCGAUUUAGGCGCUCUCGGCCAAUAGCGGCGCUCGGCACGGGUCACGUGACGCCCGGUCUCCCUCUCGCCUCUUUCCCACCGCGCUCUCUCACUCGGGUGAGCGCAGACAGGAAAGCGGGCGGCGGAGUGCCAGUCUGGGUCUGCCAGCUGUGGGACGAGUAGCUGGCCAGCGUUACCGGUGACUGACGGCUCUCCAGCCUUUUCUUUUAAACUGAAGAGAGACGAGGCGAAGCGGCAGCGGUGGUUCUUCUCCUCCGGCUCGCCGGGUUUAGGCUUCUCUAACUGAACGGACUUUCCAGAGCGCUGUUCUGCCGGAGGACUCGCCCUGACGGCGGCAGCGGCGGGCGUCGCGUGCGCAAACGACGGUUGAGGUUAGCGGGCCAGAAAGAGCAGGAGAGAAAAAGAAGGACAUGAAUGCUAUUUCUGAAAAACAUUUGAGCUCUGUACUUUUGACACCAUGUGAUGAAACUAAAAAGAAGAACCUCUGAUAAAGAGCAUGAUUGUAAAGGGAUGAGACUGGAUGUCAUGGUGUUGGACGUGAGAGGGUUCACGCAGCCUGCUGCGGGCCCAGGAAUGUGGCAGAACAGUGCGGGACACGGUGUGGGUUCCUUGUCUGGCUGGGUUAGCCACAUCAGACCUUGCUUUCACUGUACAACUAGCACCCUCUGGCAGCAAAAUGGACACAUGACUGUAGGAUUGAGCUGAGGUUUCAUGGGAAGAGUGUUCAAAACACUGUUUAAUUCAGCUUUAUUGAAGACAAAUUGUAAAUGUGUUUGCCAUGUACAUUGUACAGACGUUUAACCACAUUUUGAAAAGCAAAGAACAGUAUGAUGUCUUCUACAACAAAGAAUAAAAACAGUCCUGAUUUUUUUGAGUGUGUGUUU
rnacentral:lncRNA from 1 species